CCCCAACUCUACACACCUACGUGCAGAAGAUCCCCAGGAAGAAACUGUCAUGCCAAACCUCUGCCCAGGUUGUCACGGAGACCGCCUGAGUCCCUGCGAUCCUGCCGUGAGCAUUGCCAUAGAACAGGGUGCCCUGGACUGGCUAUCGCUGCACUGAAGGGUGUGCCCUGUGUGCCGGGACCCCUGGUAUCAUUUAUGAAGCUGGUAAUCUAGGACCUACGUGUGAACAACUUUAUAUGAGUAUUUUUUGUACUUGGUUUACUUGGGUUGGUAUGAUACAUGAUAUUUAAGUUCCUUGAACACUGUGGAGCCCCUAAUGUGUAUGAAUGACUGAGGCUUUGUAAAUUAAGGGACGUUUGUGUGAAUAAAGUUAUUUGAUGGGGGUCAAAGAAGCCAUAUGUGAUUUGAAAA